rnacentral:rRNA from 1 species
UACGAAGGGGGCUAGCGUUGCUCGGAAUCACUGGGCGUAAAGCGCACGUAGGCGGAUCUUUAAGUCAGGGGUGAAAUCCUGGAGCUCAACUCCAGAACUGCCUUUGAUACUGGGGAUCUCGAGUCCGGAAGAGGUGAGUGGAACUCCGAGUGUAGUGGUGGAAUGCGUAGAGAUCCGGAGGAACACCAGCGGCGAAGGCAGGUCUCUGGGCCGAUACUGACGCUGAGGAGCGAAAGCGUGGGGAGCGAACAGG